AUACGUAGGUGGCAAGCGUUGUCCGGAUUUAUUGGGCGUAAAGAGAGCGCAGGCGGUUUCUUAAGUCUGAUGUGAAAGCCCCCGGCUCAACCGGGGAGGGUCAUUGGAAACUGGGAGACUUGAGUGCGGAAGAGGAGAGUGGAAUUCCUUGUGUAGCGGGGAAAUGCGUAGAUAUAUGGAGGAACACCAGUGGAGAAGGCGACUCUCUGGUCUGUAACUGACGCUGAGGCUCGAAAGCGUGGGGAGCAAACAGGAUUAGAUACCCUGGUAGUCCACGCCGUAAACGAUGAGUGCUAAGUGUUGGAGGGUUUCCGCCCUUCAGUGCUGCAGCUAACGCAUUAAGCACUCCGCCUGGGGAGUACGACCGCAAGGUUGAAACUCAAAGGAAUUGACGGGG
rnacentral:rRNA from 1 species